GAUGAACGCUGGCGGCGUGCCUAAUACAUGCAAGUCGAGCGAACAGACGAGGAGCUUGCUCCUCUGACGUUAGCGGCGGACGGGUGAGUAACACGUGGAUAACCUACCUAUAAGACUGGGAUAACUUCGGGAAACCGGAGCUAAUACCGGAUAAUAUAUUGAACCGCAUGGUUCAAUAGUGAAAGACGGUUUUGCUGUCACUUAUAGAUGGAUCCGCGCCGCAUUAGCUAGUUGGUAAGGUAACGGCUUACCAAGGCAACGAUGCGUAGCCGACCUGAGAGGGUGAUCGGCCACACUGGAACUGAGACACGGUCCAGACCCCUACGGGAGGCAGCAGUAGGGAAUCUUCCGCAAUGGGCGCAAGCCUGACGGAACAACGCCGCGUGAGUGAUGAAGGUCUUCGGAUCGUAAAACUCUGUUAUUAGGGAAGAACAAAUGUGUAAGUAACUAUGCACGUCUUGACGGUACCUAAUCAGAAAGCCACGGCUAACUACGUG
rnacentral:rRNA from 1 species